rnacentral:misc_RNA from 1 species
GGAAGGAUCAUUCCAUCCACAACUGAACCCCAAACCGUUAACUUUCCCAGGGGCCACUGCCGGUGACGGUGGAGGCUGACCUGGGUCGUGGGGCUUUGUCGCUUCGGCGGCUUUGCUUCGCACCCUUUGUGCCCUAACGCAAGUCCUAUACUGCUACUUUAAACAAUAACACCUCUCAGCGGUGGAUACCUCGGCUACCCUAACGAUGAAGAACGCAGCGAAGCGCGAUAGUAAUUGCGAAUUGCAGAAUUCAGUGAAUCAUCGUAACUUUGAACGCACUCGGCGGCUUUGGGAAGUCCUAAAGCCACGCCUCUCUGAGUAUCGUACCCCACCCCAUCUACCUCAACAGUUGAGAGUCAUGUGCAAUGUCUCUUCAAAUACGCUUUGUGCUCUCGCAGCAGUCUUGCUUGUGAGCUUCAGGGUUGCGCAUACUGGUUUCUGUGUCAGGUUGGCCUCGCGGUCACACAUGAUAAAAGAGCUGGGUGACUUUGAUGCAAACAGUGGGAUGAAAAAGCCCACGCCGCAGUCUCUGUGGCAUAUCCAUUUUGGGAAGAUCUCAGAUGAGGUGAGAUUACCCCCUGAGUUUAAGCAUAUUCUUAAGGGGAGGAAAAGAAACUAACAAGGAUUCCCUUAGUAACGGCGAGUGAACCGGGAAGAGCUCAAACCUGAAUCUUGGUUGGUUUCCUUCCAAGAGUUGUGGGUUACGGAGGCACGCUCAGCGUGUGGCUUUGGUCCAAGUCUGCUGGAAAGCAGCGUCACAGAGGGUGAGAACCCCGUCUUCGACUGAAUGUCCGCCGUGUACGAGUUGCUCUCCAAGAGUCGGGUUGUUUGGGACUACAGCCUUAAACGGGUGGUAAAUUCCAUCUAAAGCUAAAUACCUGGGGUAGACCGAUAGCACACAAGUACCGUAAGGGAAAGGUGAAAAGGACUUUGAAAAGAGAGUCAAAAGUACUUGAAACUGCUGAGAGUAAAGGGAUAGGGACUGUUGGAUCGGGUUGUCACAGCAUUCGCUGGCUGUCUGUGUGGUUUGCUUGAGCGGCUGUUUCCUGGCUUCGGCUGGGGUUCGGGUUCUCGUGGACUGCGCGUGUCGGUUGGAGGAGGUAUGUGGCGCGAGCAGUGUCAGAAUGGGUUGGUGCCGUGAGAAAGGGUGUGGGAGAAGGUAGAGCAGGAUCAAACCUAGUUUGUGACUCUCGAAGCUCCCAACACCUGCUUUCGGUGCUGUCCGAGGCGCAAGCGAUUCUGACCGUAUAUGGUCCCUAUCCACCCGUCUUGAAACACGGACCAAGGAGUCUAACGUACGCGCGAGUCUUCGGGUGUGAAAACCCAAUGGCGAAAUGAAAGUGAAGGGGCGACUUGUCGCUCUGAGGUGUGAAUCCUUGCAAGAGGAGGCAACAUCGCCCGGCCGCUCUUCGUGUGCGGUUCGAGGCCGAGCGCGCACGCUAGGACCCGAAAGAUGGUGAACUAUGCCUGGGCAGGGUGAAGCCAGGGAAACUCUGGUGGAAGCUCGUAGCGAUACUGACGUGCAAAUCGUUCGUCGGACCUGGGUAUAGGGGCGAAAGACUAAUCGAACCGUCUAGUAGCUGGUUCCCUC